GGGAUGGAUUUCUGACCUUUCUCUACCCUGGUCACUGUCAGUGCACAUGUGUCCUGAGCUCCUCUUGCAGCAAACCCCUCCUCCAAGGUACCUCUGUUCUCAAGGCCCGCAGAGACCAAGAGAGGACCUCUGUGUUCUGGAGCACAGGCCAUGAGUGCUCCAGCUGCCCUGCUGCAGCAGACAGAAAGGAAUACUGACUGCUUCGAGGUCUACAUGUCUUCAUCUGGCCUCCAGAUUUAGUCCCGUCUCCUUCCUGUCUGCGGUGGUCCAUGGGAUACUAGUUUGAACCUCCUAGUUUGAUAUGCCUGUGACUGCUCCCCUCCAAGGCUUCCUGUGGCUUCCCUGCCCACCAGGUGCUGGAUGUCACUUCCCUGUGGUCCACUUUCUGCCAUGAAGCUUUCAGCCCAUCUCUUCCAAAAGCAGCAGUGCUGUGAAGAGCAGAGAAGAACCUUACACCGGAAACCACAGUCUCCAGCCAUAGCCAAUACCCGAGUGACAAGGCAGUGGCACAUUGAGUACUCAGCACGGACAACA